rnacentral:rRNA from 1 species
AGGGGCAUCGGGAAGAAAACUUGCUUUCUUUGCCGGCGACCGGCGCACGGGUGAGUAACACGUAUCCAACCUGCCCUUUACUCGGGGAUAGCCUUUCGAAAGAAAGAUUAAUACCCGAUAGCAUAAUGAUUCCGCAUGGUUUCAUUAUUAAAGGAUUCCGGUAAAGGAUGGGGAUGCGUUCCAUUAGGUUGUUGGUGAGGUAACGGCUCACCAAGCCUUCGAUGGAUAGGGGUUCUGAGAGGAAGGUCCCCCACAUUGGAACUGAGACACGGUCCAAACUCCUACGGGAGGCAGCAGUGAGGAAUAUUGGUCAAUGGGCGCUAGCCUGAACCAGCCAAGUAGCGUGAAGGAUGAAGGCUCUAUGGGUCGUAAACUUCUUUUAUAUAAGAAUAAAGUGCAGUAUGUAUACUGUUUUGUAUGUAUUAUAUGAAUAAGGAUCGGCUAACUCCGUGCCAGCAGCCGCGGUAAUACGGAGGAUCCGAGCGUUAUCCGGAUUUAUUGGGUUUAAAGGGAGCGUAGGUGGACUGGUAAGUCAGUUGUGAAAGUUUGCGGCUCAACCGUAAAAUUGCAGUUGAUACUGUCAGUCUUGAGUACAGUAGAGGUGGGCGGAAUUCGUGGUGUAGCGGUGAAAUGCUUAGAUAUCACGAAGAACUCCGAUUGCGAAGGC